UGGGGAAUAUUGGACAAUGGGCGAAAGCCUGAUCCAGCAACGCCGCGUGAGGGAUGACGGCCUUCGGGUUGUAAACCUCUUUCAGCGGGGACGAAGCGCAAGUGACGGUACCUGCAGAAGAAGCACCGGCCAACUACGUGCCAGCAGCCGCGGUAAUACGUAGGGUGCGAGCGUUGUCCGGAAUUAUUGGGCGUAAAGGGCUCGUAGGCGGUUUGUCACGUCGGGAGUGAAAACUCGGGGCUCAACCCCGAGCCUGCUUCCGAUACGGGCUGACUAGAGGUAUGCAGGGGAGAACGGAAUUCCUGGUGUAGCGGUGAAAUGCGCAGAUAUCAGGAGGAACACCGGUGGCGAAGGCGGUUCUCUGGGCAUUACCUGACGCUGAGGAGCGAAAGUGUGGGGAGCGAACAGGAUUAGAUACCCUGGUAGUCCACACCGUAAACGUUGGGCGCUAGGUGUGGGACUCAUUCCACGAGUUCCGUGCCGCAGCUAACGCAUUAAGCGCCCCGCCUGGGGAGUACGGCCGCAAGGCUAA
rnacentral:rRNA from 1 species